CCCUGCACAUGGCAGGGGGUGGAAACUCCAUGAUCAUUAUGGUCCUUUUCAAUCCUGGCCAUUCUGAUUCUAUGAGUCUAAUUAAUACAGACAUAUUUUCUUUACCUACAGGUCUCCAUAUGAAUGUUGUAUGAAUGUUGAUGUGUAUAGCAAUGUGUCAUAGAUUUAUAUCUUGCACAGAAAUACAAUAAACUCCAAUUUUUGAAACAGUAUAGGAACAGGAAAGCAGGCAGCUGAAAAAGAGGUUGAUUUGCUGUCUGAUUUAUAGCUAUUGCUCCUGCACAUUUAGAGAGAAUUAGAUACGUAGAGAUACACAGUGAGAUUUUAACGUUUUUAUGCACAAACAUGUGGCUUUAUCUAUCCUGGAUCCCACUGCAUUACAAAUGCUACCAGCUCUGCUCUGUGCGCGCUCUGGACAAACACAUUUCGUUGCUGGGUGGGUUAGUGUACUAAAUGAGGCGUGGUUCAGAGAGGGGUUACCGCAAAGGUUACCUCUGUCACUGGAAUGCCUGGGAGGAGAGCUAUAGCCAGGCUGCCCUACAGCACCGUAUCCAAUUGCUCAGUUUAAACAACCGCUGUAGAUGGACCAAUGUGAGGAGGUGGAGCCAAUGUUAGGAAGGCACGCUGCUUUAACAAAGCUGGAGGUAAAAACAACAGCAGGAGGGACACAGACCAGCCUUGCAAUCAGAGUGUUCAGAGAGAGACAGAGGACAGAAGAAUUUUGGGUCUGAGAUUUGCCAGACAGAUCCUCACUCUGCAUUUGGAAUCUGACACCCCAGGAGCUUUGUAUUUUCCCUGAGUCCAUCUGCUGUCAGGAGGAGUUUCAGCUUGUGUUUGGGCUUGCAUAUUAGGGCAUGUGGAGAAACAAAUUAGCAGGUUGCAUAAAGACUGUUUGACUGGAAACAUUUGGACAAUCUCCCAGUGACUGAAAGGUUACAGCAGAAUGUGACAUACCUGCAUCAGUAGACAAGGGAAGAGCCACUGAUGUCAUCUAUCUGGACUUCAGUAAGGCCUUUGACACAGUCCCUCAUAACAUCCUUCUCUCCAAAUUGGAAAGAUACGGAUUUGACAAGUGGACUGUUCAGUGGAUUAAGGCUGGUUAUGAGAUUAUACUCAGAGAGUUAUGUUCAGUGGCUCAAUGUCUGAGUGAAGAACAGUGUCAAGUGGUGCCCCUCAGGGGUCAGUAUUGGGACCAGUGCUCUUUAACAUCUUCAUCAAUGGCAUCAACGGUGGGAUUGAGUUUGUAGCUGAUAACAAGCUGUGUGAUGCAACUGACACACUCAGUGGACAGGAUGCCACCCAAAGAGACAUAUGUAGGCCCAAGCAGUGGGCCCUGGUGAACCUCACAAGGCUUAAUAAAUUCAUGAACAAGGUCUUGCACCUGCAUUGUGGCAAACCCUGCUAUGAGGACAAGCUGGGGGUGUAAGGAUGGUGCACAACUCCACCAAAAAGGACUUGAGGUGGAUGGCAAGCUGGACAUGAGCCAGCAAUGUGCCCUCACAUCCCAGAAAGCCAACUUUAUCCUGGACUGUAUCAAAAGAAUCGUGACCAACAGGUUGAGGGAGGUGAUCCUUCUGCUUUCCUCUGUGCUGGUGAGGCCUCACCUGGAGUACUGCAUCUAGGUGUGGAGUCUUCAGUACAAGAGAGACAUAGGCCUGCUGGAGCAUGUCCAGAGGAGGACCAAAAGAGAGAUCCAAGAGAUGGAACACCUUCCCCAUGAGAACGGGCUGAGAGAGCGGGGGCUGUUCAGCCUAGAGAAGAGAAGGCUCUGAGGAGAACUGAUAAUGGCCUUUCAGUAUCUAAGAAGGAGCUUUAAGAAAGAAGGGGCUUUAAGAAAGAAAAGUCCUGUCACUUUAGCACAGUGACAGAACAAAGGAAAAUGGUUUCAGAGUAAAGGAGAGAAAAUUUAGAUUGGAUAUAAGGAAAAACUUUUUUACAAUAAGACAGUUGAGGCAUUGCAACAGAUUGCCCAGAGGUGUGGUAGAAUCCCUGUCCCAGACACAUUCAGAGUCAGGCUGUACAGGGCUCUGAGCACCUAAGGUAGCUGUAAGUGCCCCUGUCCAUUGCAGGGAAGUUGGACUAGAUAGCUUUUAAAUGUCCCUUCCAAUGCAAAAGAUUAUAUGAUUCUAUGAAUCCCUCCUUACCUCCAUUGGCUUGUAAAGUAAGUUUCAAAAAUCUUGGUGUUCUGUAGAAUCAAUGCAAUUAGUGGUGUGACACAUUCAGAGAACUAUAGCAGUGAGCAUCAUAAAGAUACAGAAUAGCAUUCCAUAGGAGAUGCAGGGGAAAAAAUGAAAAUUUGAAACUGGCUUCACCCUGCAACAAUUUAGAACAUAGCUGAAUAUUAAAAUCUUUAGGCCUUUACUGCUAUUUCUGUUAUAAAAGUCAAAUCUUUGGAGAUGGAUGCAAUUAAUAAACAUACAUAUACAAAAAUACAUUAUUGCUUUAAUAGCAAAAUGCAGUACAUUCUGUUUUGAAAACAUGCUAAAAAACAGCAUAAUAAAAAUGCUUUUAAGUCGGGUCUUCCACCUUUCUUACUUUCUUUUUCUUUCCUUAAUUUUCUUCCCCCUUUCUUCCUGUCUUUCUUUCUUUUUUUCAGAAUGAAAUUUCUUUAUCCUGGGAAUCUGACACAGAAUUAUUAUUAUUAUUAUUAUUA